rnacentral:rRNA from 1 species
AGAGUUUGAUCCUGGCUCAGAACGAACGCUGGCGGCAGGCUUAACACAUGCAAGUCGAGCGAGACCUUCGGGUCUAGCGGCGGACGGGUGAGUAACGCGUGGGAACGUGCCCUUCUCUACGGAAUAGCCCCGGGAAACUGGGAGUAAUACCGUAUACGCCCUUUGGGGGAAAGAUUUAUCGGAGAAGGAUCGGCCCGCGUUGGAUUAGGUAGUUGGUGGGGUAAUGGCCCACCAAGCCGACGAUCCAUAGCUGGUUUGAGAGGAUGAUCAGCCACACUGGGACUGAGACACGGCCCAGACUCCUACGGGAGGCAGCAGUGGGGAAUCUUAGACAAUGGGGGCAACCCUGAUCUAGCCAUGCCGCGUGAGUGAUGAAGGCCUUAGGGUUGUAAAGCUCUUUCAGCUGGGAAGAUAAUGACGGUACC